CUAGGGACAGCUGCAGAUUGUAGUACAAUAGAACAUCAAUAAAUUAAUACUCAAUAAAUUAAUAAUUUUUGAAAAUUAAUAAAUUUUGGAAUUUAAUAAAUUUUGUCAGUCCUAACUUGAACCGAUUCAAAAUUUGACAUAAAUCGAUAAAAUAAUAAAAUAAUAUUUUUUGUAGAAAAUCUAUAUAAAUAUAUGGUUCCAUUAAAAUUAUAAAUUAAUAAUUUAUAUGUAUAUAUAUUUUAUAUAAGUAAGAACUAUUAUUAUAUUAUUUGUUUUAUAUUCAUAAUGAAAUUAUCUUUAUAGUUUCUUAACACUUAAUAUAUUUUUUGAUGAGAUUUAGACCACAAGGAGAAAAAUGACCAAAAUGUUUCAUUUAAUAGGUAAAAUGACCAUAAUACCCUAGAUAUAUAAAAAUGAAAAAAUAAAAAAUUAGUUUUAUAUUAUAUGUUUUCAAAUUCAAACUUUUUUAUAAAUUUUUUUUAUAUUUUUUUUUCAAAUUUUCUUUUUGUAAUUCGAAAAUACUUUUUGAAACUAUUUUUAAAAUUUUUAUUUUUAAAAUUUUUAUUUUAAUUUUUUAUUUUAUAAAAUUUUUAUUUUUAUUUUUUAUUUUAUAAAAUUUUAAAUCUCAAUUCCAAAUCCACACCCCUUAACUCUAAACCCUAAGGUUUGAAUUAGUUAACCUUAGAGCAUGUUUAUUGCAGGUCUCUUAGCUUGGGUAAUAUAAGAGACAUCUUUUAGCUUUUUUAGUUAAAAGCUAAGAGAUUGUAUCUUAUAUUACGGUAAGAGACCCAACCUAAGAGACUUACAAUAAGCAUGCUCUUAGG
rnacentral:lncRNA from 1 species